rnacentral:lncRNA from 1 species
GUCUGACUAGCUCGAAAGACCUUCUCUUUUACUUGAAUCUUUUCCUCUUUCUGACUAACUUGAGAGACCUUCUCUUUUACUUGAAUCAAUAUGUCUUCUCCUUCCUCUACCUUUGUCUGAACUGAAGGCUUUGGACUAAGCAAACAAGAUGCCAACACCCACAAUGUCAGUGUGCCAACUGGCAGAGUUCCUGGGCUUUUCUUUUCUAUUCUUUUUAAAUCUUCACCAUGAUGGUUCCAUUGUGAUAUAUUUAACAACUCCUCCUUAAAAAGCCAUGGGCUACAUUUUUGUAUUGUAUCAAGGUAUGCCCUGACUGCUCUUGAUUUUACUGAGAUGCCUCCUUCCUCUAACAAUUUACUUAACACUCUUUCAGUUUGUUUUUUACUAAUUUCUGAUCCCAUAUUUCUACUAUAAUACAAC